UCGGGUGUCAGUGGCAGACGGGUGAGUAACACGUGGGAACGUACCCUUCGGUUCGGAAUAACUCAGGGAAACUUGAGCUAAUACCGGAUACGCCCUUUUGGGGAAAGGUUUACUGCCGAAGGAUCGGCCCGCGUCUGAUUAGCUUGUUGGUGGGGUAACGGCCUACCAAGGCGACGAUCAGUAGCUGGUCUGAGAGGAUGAUCAGCCACACUGGGACUGAGACACGGCCCAGACUCCUACGGGAGGCAGCAGUGGGGAAUAUUGGACAAUGGGCGCAAGCCUGAUCCAGCCAUGCCGCGUGAGUGAUGAAGGCCUUAGGGUUGUAAAGCUCUUUUGUCCGGGACGAUAAUGACGGUACCGGAAGAAUAAGCCCCGGCUAACUUCGUGCCAGCAGCCGCGGUAAUACGAAGGGGGCUAGCGUUGCUCGGAAUCACUGGGCGUAAAGGGCGCGUAGGCGGCCGAUUAAGUCGGGGGUGAAAGCCUGUGGCUCAACCACAGAAUUGCCUUCGAUACUGGUUGGCUUGAGACCGGAAGAGGACAGCGGAACUGCGAGUGUAGAGGUGAAAUUCGUAGAUAUUCGCAAGAACACCAGUGGCGAAGGCGGCUGUCUGGUCCGGUUCUGACGCUGAGGCGCGA
rnacentral:rRNA from 1 species